UACGGAGGGGGCAAGCGUUGUUCGGAUUUACUGGGCGUAAAGAGUUCGUAGGCGGUCGCGUAAGUCUGACGUGAAAUCUCCGACGCUUAACGUGGAGAGGUCGUUGGAUACUGCGUGACUUGAGUAUGGAAGAGGCUAGCGGAAUUCCUGGUGUAGCGGUGGAAUGUGUAGAUAUCAGGAAGAACAUCAGUGGCGAAGGCGGCUAGCUGGGCCAUUACUGACGCUGAGGAACGAAAGCGUGGGGAGCAAACGGG
rnacentral:rRNA from 1 species